rnacentral:rRNA from 1 species
AUGGCCGCGGAUGCCGCCGCUCCCUCCCGCACUCUCCCCGCGUGCAUGCUGCCGCUGCUCCUCCUCCUCCUCCUCUCAGCGCGCGCGGCGGACGCGGGCCCUCUGGCGGCGGGGCUCGUGCACCCGGGCUUCACCGCCUCCGGCUACGAGUACAUCGACACCCGCGGCGCCUUCCUCGAGUCCAACAAGGGCGCCUUCAGGGCGGCCGUGCACAACCCGGGCAAGCAGCUGGCCAGCUUCUACCUCGCCGUGCUGCACGCGCCGACCGGCACGCCGGUCUGGUCCGCCAACCGCGACGCGCCCACGGGGUCCUCCGGCCGCGUCCAGCUCUCCGCGCGCGGGCUCUCCGUCACGGACGCGGAUGGCGCGACGGUGCUGUGGUCGACCACGCCGCGGGCGCCCGUCGCGGCGCUCCGCCUGCGGGACGACGGGAACCUGCAGCUGCUGGACGCGCGGAACGCGACGCUGUGGCAGUCGUUCGACGACGCCACCGACGCGCUGCUCCCGGGGCAGCAGCUGCGCGCCGCCGCGUACCUCACGUCGGGGAGGAGCCCCGGUGAUUUUGCCCGGGGGGACUACCGGCUCGCCGUGUCCGGGUCGGACGUGGCGUUGACGUGGCAGGGGUCCACGUACUGGCGGCUGUCCAACGACCUCCGCUCCUUCAAGGACCGCAACGCCGCCGCGGCGGCGAUGUCGUUCAAUUCCUCGGGGCUGUUCGUGGUCGCCGCCGACAGCGCGCUGGUGUUCCGGGUGGACUUCGCGCCGGCUGAUUUCCGCGUGCUUAAGCUGGGGCACGACGGGCGGCUGCGCGUCACAAGCUACGCGCUGGUGAACUCCUCGGAUCCCCUCGGCGGGGACUUCGUGGCGCCCGCCACCGACUGCGAGCUUCCGUCGCCGUGUCCGUCCCUCGGGCUCUGCGGUGCGGCGGGCAACAGCUCGACCUGCACGUGCCCUCCGCUCUUCGCCGCCUCCGUGAAAGUGUCCGGCGGGUGCACGCCGGGGGACGGCUCCGCGCUCGCGUCGCCGGAGGACUUGUGCCGGACCAACAGCAGCGCCUCCUCCGUUUCUUACCUCGCCCUCAAGCCGAAGAUCGCCUACUCCGCCAGCAGGUACGACGCCCCAACGACGACAGGCGUCAACCGCACCGCGUGCCGCGCCCUAUGUACCGCGAACUGCACAUGCCUUGGUUACUUCCACGACAACUCCUCCAUUACUUGCUACUUGAUCGGAGGAAGGCAGCUCGGUUCGCUCCAUUGGAGCACUCGUGCUGCACCGGCGUUGGGAUACAUCAAGACGAUCAGUUCGGCGACCAGAGCUGGGAAAAACAAACGCGACUCUUCGUCGGCGAGCCGCUCUUUGCCUAUCGUACUGCCGUCCGUUGCCGCGUUUCUUCUCAUCGUCGUGGUGGCAUGGUACUCAUUGUGGUGGAGGAGGAAGAGGAAGAGCGGAAAGAAAGGCAAGGCCAAGAACUCCUCGGCGAAGAAUGUGAAUCUGGGCCUCCAAAAUCCGCGGUCGAGAGACGCGAGCUACGACGAGGAUCCCGACGACGACGACAUCGUCAUACCGGGCAUGCCGGCGCGGUUUAGCUACGAGGAGAUCGGGUCGAUGACCGCAGGCUUCGGAACGAAGGUGGGCUCCGGCGGGUUCGGCUCCGUGUAUAAAGGGGAGCUUCCAGCCGGCGAGGGGCUCGUCGCGGUGAAGAGGCUGGAGGCCGUUGGCAUGCAGGCGAAGAGGGAAUUCUGCACGGAGAUCGCCGUCAUCGGCAACAUCCGGCACGUCAACCUCGUCCGCCUCCGCGGCUUCUGCGCGGAGGGCUCGCGCCGGCUGCUCGUCUACGAGUACAUGAACCGCAGCUCGCUUGACCGAUCGCUGUUCGGCGCCACGGGAGCGCCGGUGCUGGAGUGGGGGGAGCGCAUGGAGGUGGCGCUGGGCGCGGCGCGCGGGCUCGCGUACCUGCACACAGGAUGCGACCAGAAGAUCGUGCACUGCGACGUGAAGCCGGAGAACAUCUUGCUAGCGGACGGCGGGCAGGUGAAGGUCUCCGACUUUGGCCUUGCGAAGCUGAUGUCGCCGGAGCACUCGGCGAUCUUCACCACCAUGCGCGGCACACGCGGAUACCUCGCGCCAGAGUGGCUCAGCAACGCGCCGAUCUCGGACCGCGCGGACGUGUACAGCUUCGGCAUGGUGCUGCUCGAGCUGGUGCACGGGAGGAAGAACCGCGGCGAGCAGGAGCAAGCCAACAACGCCGGCGCCGCGGUCGGCGGCAGCGGCGACCACUCGGCCUUUCCGUCCCCGUCCGGUCAUAGCAGCACGAUGACGUCGUCGACGAUGAGCGGCGGCACCAGCGGUGGCGACGACGAUUACUUCCCGAUGGUCGCGCUGGAGCUCCACGAGCAAGGGAGAUACCUGGACCUCGUCGACCGGACGCUGGAGGGGCGGAUGAGCGAGGCUGAAGUCGCGCGCGCCGUGCGCCUCGCGCUGGGCAGCCUGCACGAGGACCCUGCGCAGCGGCCCAGCAUGGCCGCGGUGGUGCGAGUGCUGGAAGGCAGCGUGCCACCGCCGGAGCCCCCGGGCGACGCGCUCGGCUUUCUGCGGCUCUACGGGAGAGGCUACGCCAUGCCGGCCCCGGUGGCGGGCAUGGCUGCCACGUCCGAGUCAGCUGGCCACGCGCCAUGCCAUGGCUGGUCCACGUCGGCUACCGCCGGCUCGCAGCUGGACGGUUCAUUGAAGGACACGUUGGUGCCCAGAUAG